AAGCCGCGAACGGGUGAGUAACACGUGGGUAACCUGCCCCUGAUGAUUGGGACAACCCGAGGAAACUCGGGCUAAUACCAAAUGUGCUCCUCGGCCAUAAGGUCGAUGAGGAAAGGUAGCUUCGGCUUCCGCAUCAGGAUGGGCCCGCGGCCCAUUAGCUUGUUGGUGGGGUAACGGCCUACCAAGGCUUCGAUGGGUAGCUGGUCUGAGAGGACGAUCAGCCACACUGGGACUGAGACACGGCCCAGACUCCUACGGGAGGCAGCAGUGGGGAAUCUUGCACAAUGCGCGAAAGCGUGAUGCAGCAACGCCGCGUGGGGGAAGAAGGCCUUCGGGUUGUAAACCCCUUUCAGUUGGGACGAAGCUUCUGCGGUGAAUAGCCGCAUGGAGUGACGGUACCUUCAGAAGAAGCCCCGGCUAACUACGUGCCAGCAGCCGCGGUAAUACGUAGGGGGCAAGCGUUGUCCGGAAUUAUUGGGCGUAAAGCGCGUGUAGGCGGCUCGGUAAGUCUGCUGUGAAAGUCCAAGGCUCAACCUUGGAAUGCCGGUGGAUACUGUCGAGCUCGAGUCCGGAAGAGGCGAGUGGAAUUCCUGGUGUAGCGGUGAAAUGCGCAGAUAUCAGGAGGAACACCAAUGGCGAAGGCAGCUCGCUGGGACGGUAC
rnacentral:rRNA from 1 species